rnacentral:rRNA from 1 species
ACGCUCGACACCUACGGGAGGCGGCAGUCGGGAAUAUUGCGCAAUGGAGGAAACUCUGACGCAGUGACGCCGCGUGCAGGAAGAAGGUUUUCGGAUUGUAAACUGCUUUAGACAGAGAAGAAAGAAAUGACAGUACCUGUAGAAUAAGCUCCGGCUAACUACGUGCCAGCAGCCACGGUAAUCUGAGCGGGCUGGCAAGGC